CAGCCGCCGCGGUAAUACGUAGGGUGCAAGCGUUGUCCGGAAUUAUUGGGCGUAAAGAGCUCGUAGGCGGUUUGUUGCGUCGGCUGUGAAAUCCCGAGGCUCAACCUCGGGUCUGCAGUCGAUACGAGCAAACUAGAGUGUUGCAGGGGAGACUGGAAUUCCUGGUGUAGCGGUGAAAUGCGCAGAUAUCAGGAGGAACACCGGUGGCGAAGGCGGGUCUCUGGGCAACAACUGACGCUGAGGAGCGAAAGCGUGGGGAGCGAACAGG
rnacentral:rRNA from 1 species